CACAACCGCCGCUUACCUCCCCGCCGGUGGUAAUUUUCCGGCGAAGCUCAAGCAUAGGUUGGUCUCUGAAAAAAUUGAGUUCAAGGGCUUUGGAUUAUUUGCUGAAAAUUUUGAACAACACUAACAAGAUUUCAAUGCUGAGAAAAGCCACGUGAACUAUAUCAAUGUUUUAUGGAGGCAUGCCAAAACCGCCUUUUGAGAAGGUGAAACCAGUAACCCGAGCUCUUCGUGACCUUGUUGCUUCAAAUGAUGAUGAAGAGGUGUUAAGAAAUGCAUGCUGGCACUUUAUUACUUUUCUGGUGCUAUGGAUGUGACUUUCAAGGCAGACUGCUCCAGCAAAGAAAUCAUUUCUCAUCCUGCUGUGAGCAAGAGUGAAAUUAUUAAGGCCGCCCUUCAAGCGGAUGUUCUUCCGGUGCUGCUUGAGCUCUUCGAAUGUUUCAGAGAUCGCUCUCGUACCAUAAUCCCCCUGCCAGCGGUACAGUUGCAAGUAUUAGCCUACGAGACAACAACCAGAAAGAGGUACGCGGGUCCAGUGUUAUCAGAGGCGAAAAGCGCAAAAAAGCUCUAAGGCCCGUUGGGGCUUUAAGCGCAAAGCACAAAUAAA